AUAAAUUUAUCAACAUUGCACCAGUACGAUCCUUACAUGUCAGUUGCAUUUUAUAAGAGAAAUGUAUCAACUCGCUAAUGAGCAUCAGUUAAUGAUCUUGUCUGCAUUGAUUCAACUUAAAACUAUUGUCUGAUCGGUUGUCAGGUGGAAUUUUCGAAAAUUCAUAAACAUUUAAAAAAAAUUCUAAUUAAAUAUUUCGUGGAAGGGCAGACUAGAUUUUUUUUAGUGGUUGAAGACUAUAAACCCUAGUUAUCACACACACAAAAUUAUAAUUUUUCGAAGAUAUGCAUUUUCAUCAUCCAACUUGAAAGACUGUCGUCAAGUACUUUUAGUAAAAUAAUAGCUAUUCGAACUUUGAUUUUGUGAUUCAUUAGAUAGGUAUUUCAUUUGACCCAUAUAUUUCAUCUUUUAGUACUGUGAUUUUUAUAAGUUAUAAAGUCAACCUGUAGCUUUGAUAUAUAAAAAUGAUAGAAUCUGAAGCGAGACGGUGUAUGAAAUAUUCUUGCUUUGUACGAUAUCAAGACAAAUUAUUCAACUCAAACACGCCCUAACAUAAAAAGGUGCACUCGAGUUUCUCUUUUCGAUACUAUUGUUACCCAUUUUUUGGAAUUUUUUCUUGAGUCACAAAAAAGAAGGUGAGACACGAAAAUUACUGAACUAAUAGAUUGAUAUGUUUUCCGUCCGUGGUAAAAAAAAAAUUAAGAA
rnacentral:lncRNA from 1 species